AUAUGCAGCUAGCUUUCUGCAACUCUCACAUGAUCGCCCACUGAAGCUAAGCAGGGCUGCACUCGGUCAGUACCUGGAUGGGAGACCACAUGGGAAAACUAGGUUGCUGCCGGAA
ensembl:rRNA 5S_rRNA 5S ribosomal RNA